GACGAGGGGUCCAAGCGUUGUUCGGAAUCAUUGGGCGUAAAGCGGGUGUAGGUGGCUUUGUAAGUCAGGAGUGAAAUCCCCGAGCUUAACUUGGGAAGUGCUUUUGAAACUGCAGAGCUUGAAUGUGGGAGAGGAUCGUGGAAUUCCAGGUGUAGUGGUGAAAUACGUAGAUAUCUGGAGGAACACCGGUGGCGAAGGCGGCGAUCUGGGGAAGAUACUGACGCUGAGGUGCGAAAGCGUGGGGGAGCAAACAGG
rnacentral:rRNA from 1 species